AGCACCGAAACAAUUUGUACAACACAUCAUAAGUUAAGGCUUGUUUUCAAAAAGAGAUUUGGGGAAUUUCAAAAAAGCCAACUUCAACGUUUCAGCUUUAGCGGCAAAUUAUCUCUUUACACAUU